UCUUUGUAACUACCUUGUACGAGGGGUAUAUAUACUCUCAAUCCAUCAAUGAAAGUAACGGUUCCAUCAUUUUAUUCCCUUCUCUCGUUUUUACAUUCCACACGGUAUCAUCACUUGCUUUACCGACAGAGACAAGAAAAAAGGCCGACAGAGAAGAGGAAAAGGUAAGAACAUGGCAGGAGAGAGCCUGCCAUCCCUUGCUUUUGCCUUCGCUCGCUACAUCCAGCGGGAAAGCCGUCGCCGUCGCUUUCCUCGCACUCAUCACCAGGCUGCACGACGCCGUCAUGGACCUGGUGUCACGAGUGGCCCUCGUCGUCGCUUCUUCGCCAGAAACCACCGCCAGAACCGUCGCCGUGGCUAUGCCCGGCGAGGCAACCACCCACUACGUGGGCAAGCACCGACGGUGCACCGGGCUGGAUCCUCCGCUCCGACCCCUGCUGCAAAUGGAGACAUACCUGCAAUACAUCAGGCCGGGCCUUCGGCUCCGGCCAUCGCCGGCGACUACAUCGCACCGGCCACUCCGCCAUCCGCCUUCAACAUCCCUCCUAUGGAUUGGCUUCUUNGAGUGGUGAGGUACCGGGCUCUGCAUCGGGAGAAAAUGGGGAAUGGGAGAUGUGAUGUGCUGUGUGGUGGAGAACUCCCAACCAUCCUCUCUCUUAUCCAUAUCGCACAUGCUAGCCGAGGCCACAUCCCUCACGGCCUCACCUACCAGGAUUGCAUUAUUAAUCCUAAACGUACUUAAAUAAAGUGGCUGCUAGUGUUGUCAUUNCGUUCCUGGGAGAAGAAGAGAUGUUCCCUUGCGAACUCGCGCCGCCACCUCUACCCCCGUACUGCAUGCAGCACGAGUUCGGACCGUGCCCAGCGCGUACGGGGGCACCACCCCGGCUACCGUCCCCGAUGCCAUCAGACGAACUGCCGGAGCACCUCUUCCCCCAAGGAUACGGCCCCGUCUUGGAUGUGCCGUCCUUGACGCCGGCAGCAGCGGAAACGGGCGGUUACCCCGCUGUUCCCGAUCUGAACGGUGCCAUCAAGAUGGAAGAAGAAGGAGAGGGCCAGGGCUCGUCGUCGACGUUGCCUNUUAUAUUCUAUCACUAUUGUAUCGUAAGUUUGUAUAUAUUUAGACUAUGUAUCGUUUAAAAUAAUGUCUCAAACUAUGUUUACAUAUUCUAUAUGAUUGCCUCAACAUUUUUUAUUUUUUUAAAAUAUGUAGUUCUCACCUAUAACAUUUACUUGUCGUAACCCCGCAUCAAUCAAUACAGGACACUGCUUUAUUUCGCUUGUAGCGAGACCGACUAGCACGAGCCAAAAUGGCACAAGCGCAAUAGCAAGAGGUGUGCGUCACGAGAUGCACGUUCAUUCUUCAAGUAUUUUUUUAGCGUUGGGCUUACAUAUUUCCUUUUCUUACUUUGAUUAAUUUUUUGAAAUGUGUUUAAAUAUUUAUCUAAAAAUAAUUGAUUUCCCAUUUUAUUUGACUAAUAUAUUAAUCCAAUAUCCAAUGUUGGUUUCUAUUUUUAUUGAUUUUUUAAUAUUUUCAGAAAAGUACCUAGAAAACCCGAGAAAAAACAAUAAUUUGAUUCAUAAAAUUUCAGCACUAAAGAAGGCCAAGGAGGCAUGGUCCCUAUUAGAAAUAAAUUAAUUAGAUUAAUUAAAUGAUUAAUCCCCGCUAUGUCGGUUGCUACUUGUAGCAACUGCCUCUUUGUAACUACCUUGUACGAGGGGUAUAUAUACUCCCAAUCCAUCAAUGAAAGUAACGGUUCCUUCAUUUUAUUCCCUUCUCUCGUUUUUACAUUCCACACGUUAUCACCACUUGCUUUACCGACAGAGACAAGAAAAAAGGCCGACAGAGAUGAGGAAAAGGUAAGAACAUGGCAGGAGAGAGCCUGCCAUCCCUUGCUUUUGCCUUCGCUCGCUACAUCCAGCGGGAAAGCCGUCGCCGUCGCUUUCCUCGCACUCAUCACCAGGCUGCACGACGCCGUCAUGGACUUGGUGUCACGAGUGGCCCUCGUCGUCGCUUCUUCGCCAGAAACCACCGCCAGAACCGUCGCCGUGGCUAUGCCCGGCGAGGCAACCACCCACUACGUGGGCAAGCACCAACGGUGCACCGGGCUGGAUCCUCCGCUCCGACCCCUGCUGCAAAUGGAGACAUACCUGCAAUACACCAGGCCGGGCCUUCGGCUCCAGCCGUCGCCGGCGACUACAUCGCACCGGCCACUCCGCCAUCCGCCUUCAACAUCCCUCCUAUGGAUUGGCUUCUUNAAUGGGGAAUGGGAGAUGUGAUGCGCUGUGUGGUGGAGAACUCCCAACCAUCCUCUCUCUUAUCCAUAUCGCACAUGCUAGCCCAAGCCACAUCCCUCAUGGCCUCACCUACC
rnacentral:lncRNA from 1 species